rnacentral:rRNA from 1 species
AUUGAACGCUGGCGGAAUGCUUUACACAUGCAAGUCGAACGGCAGCACGGACCUCGGUCUGGUGGCGAGUGGCGAACGGGUGAGUAAUAUAUCGGAACGUAUCCAAUAAUGGGGGAUAACUAAUCGAAAGGUUGGCUAAUACCGCAUACGUCCUACGGGAGAAAGCUAGGGACCUUCGGGCCUGGCGUUAGUGGAGCGGCCGAUAUCGGAUUAGCUAGUUGGUGAGGUAAAGGCUCACCAAGGCGACGAUCCGUAGCUGGUCUGAGAGGACGACCAGCGAACCUGGAACGGAGACACGGUCCAGACUCCUACGGGAGGCAGCAGUGGGGAAUUUUGGACAAUGGGCGAAAGCCUGAUCCAGCCAUUCCGCGUGAGUGAAGAAGGCCUUCGGGUUGUAAAGCUCUUUCGCAAGAGAAGAAAACUUACCCUCUAACAUAGGGUGAGGUUGACGGUAUCUUGAUAAGAAGCACCGGCUAACUACGUGCCAGCCGCCGCCGUAA